CUUCUCUCCACACCAUUUUGAAAUGUAGCUGGUAAUUUUCCAGCAAAGAAAUUUCUCCUGCCCAGAUGAUGAUGAUCACAUGGCAGACAACAGGGGCAGGCCAGUUGCCUAGCACUGAGAUGGAAUAAACAUCACCCAGCUUCCUUUUCCCUCCCUCUUGAGAAGGAACGGUGAUGUCUUGAGAGUCAGAAAGAAAACAGUGACCGAAUAGACAUGAUUUAUUGAAAAAUAUGCAGGGUUCUUCUGGGAGGUCUGUCAGUACACAUUCAAAUAUAGAUGAGUUCAGUAUGAAGGACAGUGGAAAAGUAGACAGUGAAUUGAAUGACAGCCAUUUGGAUAUCAGCAGAGAGGGUUUCAAGAAAGCAUCCUUUCAAAUGAUUGCAAAACAAGGGGGUCUGUUGUGCUUCUGUUACUGGCAGGACAGCCAGAGGAGGCAGACAGGACCUUUGAUGCCUGGCAAGCUGUGCCACUGGGAGGUAGGGAGAAGUGUGUUUUCAAAAUGAAAAUUCUUAGUGUGUUUUGCUUUUGUGUGAGAUAUUAAUCGGCAGAAAG
rnacentral:lncRNA from 1 species